rnacentral:rRNA from 1 species
GGGCCCGCACAAGCGGCGGAGCAUGCGGAUUAAUUCGAUGCAACGCGAAGAACCUUACCAAGGCUUGACAUAUACCGAAAACUCAUGGAGACAUGGGGUCCGCAAGGGCGGUAUACAGGUGGUGCA